rnacentral:lncRNA from 1 species
CCUCAUUCCGAAAAUACAGUUGAGGCCCUUUUUCCCCCGUCUUCUCUCGUCCUUUUGCCGACUCUGUCUAGCUCUCUCUUUUCUCCUCUUCAUAUUACCGACUGUCUUUCUCUUCCUUUUCUUCUCUAUUUUUUCCUGGUUCUGCAGAUAAGAAAUAAUAAGGUGAGUUGAGGUGAGGUCUCUUGGGCCUAAAUUUGUCCUAAGAAAGGCCCUUUUGUUAUAGAUGGUGAACGAUGUAAUAACCCAAACCUCACCACCGAAGUGGACACACGCACGCAUGCACGCGCACACACAGAGCAUAUGGAGAUUCCCAGUGAGAUGAGGAAUUUUAAUAAGAUUGUCCUUGUCAUUUUAGAAUCAGUUCAUUGUCUCUCUUCAUCAGAAUAAAGCAGAAAUAGAAAGCAAGUAAAGCAGAAGAAACGGCGAUGAUCUAUGAAUAGAAAGAAGGCGUACCGUUUUCCGUAGAGAAUCCCCUGUUUCUUUCAGAGUCCCCUGUUUCAAUUUCAAAGUCCGUCCCUUGCUCUGAUCUAUUCAAAAUCUUC